GUCUCCCUCCGGCACCAACAGGUUUCUAGAGCUCUCUGAGCUGCUUUUGUGUCGAAAAUGGACGGGGGGAACCCCCCCGCCUUGGGUGCCUGUGGCAGCUCCAGGUCACCCCUCCCAAUGCACACAGGCAGGGCUCAACUGUUUUGAGGGAAAACCUUCAAAACUGGUGAAAUUUCACCCCAAAUCUGGCGAAACCCACACUGGGCUCCGGCAAAGUGGUGUGAGGGCCAAGCCUGGAGCCAAGGGCGUUUUGCCAAGCGGGGGCUCAGCUUACAGACGGGCUACUGGCCCCUUGCCCAGGCAGCCGGCCGGGCUGGGGUACGGCCCCCAGACCCUCUGCCAGCCUGUGGGGACCCCCCCACGCGGUGCCAGCAGGGACCUGCAGCCGCCGUCCGGGUUUCCUUGGUGACUGUUGCCAGGUGAGAAACUCCGAGGCAGAAUUUAUUAUCUUGGUGGAUAAAUGGAGAUGCUCCUCGCCGGAGCUGUUACUGGACUGUGCCCUGACACCGUGCCAAGCUGGACCCUGGAGUGCCACCGCUGCUAGUGGGACCCCCCAACCCCGAGGGAGGGCCGUGCCCGGGAUGCUGGGGUUGCUCAGCCCCUGGCAUCCCUUCCCGGAAGGCAGCACGUGUUUUGGGGCUAUUUCUGCCCGGCGGAGCGUCGCAGGGUGAGGGCAGGAGGCAAAACCACAGGGAGCACGGAGCGGCACAGAUGGACGUGGGCUGGCGGGUUGCCCUGCCUUGGCUUCCCUAAAACCCGGCUCCGGUGGCUAACGAUAACCCCGGAUCAUAUGCGCUCCUAAAUCCCCAGAGCUAAUUACAGGCGAACGCCCCGCGCUCAGCCUGGAAAUGCAAGAUAAUUACAGCCUGUGCCACGGAGACCUGUUGGUCUGAACUGGGGCACCGGGGGUGGCUGCUGGUGGGUUGCCCGUGCCCCCCACCGCUGCACCAGCGACCAUGUUGCGAGCUAUUUUGGGCAAAGGAGGUUGUUUUUCUGGAGUUCUCUUCUCCCCCUCCCACCCCCUCUCCAUCGGUACCACCACCCUGGGGUGGAUGCAGAAGCAGGGGAGGAAGGGUGCAGGAAACAGGUUACUUUUCACCCAAUUUCUGGCCAGGUGCUUCCCAGCCGGAGCACAGGCGAAUCCACAGGAGAGGCUUGGAUUUCAGUGCCAGCUCCUCUGUCGGGUUUUGCUCUGCUCCCUGGUGCACAGGGAAGGUGCUGGCUGGCUCCCAGAGCUGGCUGAUGCCCCUGUGUUGGCUACAAGCCUUCCCCGGGCUCCGACAGUGGAUUUUCUGGGAGCAUUCCAGCGCUCCGGCUGCUUUUCCCCCAGCAAAGCCCGGGGGAAAGGAGAGUGUAACCCAUCCCUCCCGCCUGGCAGAGAUGCCCAGGGCAGGCGCAGUGGCAGCCUGGCAGGGUUAGCAACCUGUAUACUCUUACAGCAGGUGAGACCUACAGCGGGGGGGAAUGUUAAUUAAAAGUAAUUUUAACCCUUCCUGCCUGGUUUAGCAUUACAGCAUCACCCGCUGCCUGAGCUGGGAGAGUAGCCAGAGAGGUAUGACUUCAAAAUAUGUAAUUAUGGCAGCAAAGACCUAUAAACGCAGCGGAAGAAGGUCACUCUGGUUGGUUGUUAAAGAGUUUAAGCCGUGAGGCAGCAGUGGGGUGGCCCGUGACGGAGGGACCACAGCCCCGGCCGUGGGCUCAGCGCAGCCUCCAGCCCUGCCGGGAGGUGGAGAGGGAUGAGGUCCUCAGGCCAGACCCGGGUUUUUCUCCCAGCAGGAUAAAGGAGCGAAGCUGGAGGAGCAAACGGAGCGGCAAAAGCGGUCGCACGAUGAAGCAAAUGGAAAAAAAAUAUUUCCCCGACCAGAAACUAUUCCACAGGCUGCUGUGACAGGAAAAAAAUACAGCUGAGUUAUUGAGAAAGCAAUGCAAAAUCCAAA